AUGAAACAACAGCAAUGCUGUCAAGGAAAUUCACCUCUCUGGAGGCAGAACCGAUUCAUGUCAUCAUUAAAUAUCCAGUAAAUUCAGUCCUGAGAUAUGUUUUCCUGCCACUGAUUCUGCUGCUGGCAAACGUUGGCCUUCAUUUCUACUUCAAGGUCACCACAAGGCAGAAUUCAAAGCAAAAGGAGAACACAGAGAUGCUUGUUUUCAGAGCAGAAGGAGCGACUGAUGAGGAGGAAGAGGCUGGGGGAACAGAGAAAGACCUCAGACGAUUUCAUCACUUCAGCCAGACUUAAAAUCAGCUGGUGUGAUUAGAGCCUUAAUAGGCUUUUGAAGCUUCAUGCAUAUCAAAUAACAAACAUUCUGGGAGUUACAUUCUCAUAGUAUAGCACUCACAGAUAGUACACAAAAACUUUAAUAUUGCUGACAUUGAGGAAAACCAACAGCAUUCAAAACUUCAUCUCCCACUGGUCCUUAGCUAUACCAAGUUCCCCUGCUUUAACUAUGAUGACUGUGACUCAGGUCUUCUAAUUGGAAGUUCAGUGGUUUAAACCCUGGUUCCUCCAGUUUGCACCACAGAGUCUCCUUUAGCAAGAUAUUGAACCCCAUAUUUACCAAAUAUAUCCACAGGGGUGUGUGUGGGGGGGUUAGUGAGGGUUGUUGUAGUAAGUGAUUCGGAUGCUGAAAUAGAAUAAACAAGUGCUACAUAACCACCAAUCUAUUUAACUUAAUUAGCGAGACCACAAUGUGGUAAAGUAGUUAAUAUCAUGCAUAAAACUAGCCUUGAUUCAGCUCUCCAGACCUGAUAAAGGAUACUUCAGGAAAUAGUAACGAGUAGUGGCUACUAUCAGUCCAUCUCAAUAUCUCUACCCCUUGUAUCAUUACACACACACACACACACACACACACACACACACACACU